UACAGAGGUCUCGAGCGUUGUUCGGAUUCAUUGGGCGUAAAGGGUGCGUAGGUGGCGCUGUAAGUCGGGUGUGAAAUCCUGAGGCUUAACCUCGGAACUGCAUUCGAUACUGCGGCGCUUGAGGACUGGAGAGGAGACUGGAAUUCAUGGUGUAGCAGUGAAAUGCGCAGAUAUCAGGAAGAACACCCGUGGCUAAGGCGGGUCUCUGGACAGUUCCUGACACUGAGGCACGAAGGCCAGGGGAGCAAACGGG
rnacentral:rRNA from 1 species